AGAGUUUGAUCCUGGCUCAGAUUGAACGCUGGCGGCAUGCUUUACACAUGCAAGUCGGACGGCAGCACAGAGAAGCUUGCUUCUCGGGUGGCGAGUGGCGAACGGGUGAGUAACAUAUCGGAACGUACCGAGUAGUGGGGGAUAACUGAUCGAAAGAUCAGCUAAUACCGCAUACGUCUUGAGAGAGAAAGCAGGGGACCUUUGGGCCUUGCGCUAUUCGAGCGGCCGAUAUCUGAUUAGCUAGUUGGUGGGGUAAAGGCCUACCAAGGCGACGAUCAGUAGCGGGUCUGAGAGGAUGAUCCGCCACACUGGGACUGAGACACGGCCCAGACUCCUACGGGAGGCAGCAGUGGGGAAUUUUGGACAAUGGGCGCAAGCCUGAUCCAGCCAUGCCGCGUGUCUGAAGAAGGCCUUCGGGUUGUAAAGGACUUUUGUCAGGGAAGAAAAGGCUGUUGCUAAUACCAGCGGCCGAUGACGGUACCUGAAGAAUAAGCACCGGCUAACUACGUGCCAGCAGCCGCGGUAAUACGUAGGGUGCGAGCGUUAAUCGGAAUUACUGGGCGUAAAGCGGGCGCAGACGGUUACUUAAGCAGGAUGUGAAAUCCCCGGGCUCAACCCGGGAACUGCGUUCUGAACUGGGUGACUCGAGUGUGUCAGAGGGAGGUAGAAUUCCACGUGUAGCAGUGAAAUGCGUAGAGAUGUGGAGGAAUACCGAUGGCGAAGGCAGCCUCCUGGGAUAACACUGACGUUCAUGCCCGAAAGCGUGGGUAGCAAACAGGAUUAGAUACCCUGGUAGUCCACGCCCUAAACGAUGUCAAUUAGCUGUUGGGCAACUUGAUUGCUUAGUAGCGUAGCUAACGCGUGAAAUUGACCGCCUGGGGAGUACGGUCGCAAGAUUAAAACUCAAAGGA
rnacentral:rRNA from 1 species